CCUACGGGUGGCAGCAGUGGGGAAUAUUGGGCAAUGGGCGCAAGCCUGACCCAGCAACGCCGCGUGAAGGAAGAAGGCUUUCGGGUUGUAAACUUCUUUUCUGAGGGACGAAGAAAGUGACGGUACCUCAGGAAUAAGCCACGGCUAACUACGUGCCAGCAGCCGCGGUAAUACGUAGGUGGCAAGCGUUAUCCGGAUUUAUUGGGUGUAAAGGGCGUGUAGGCGGGAAAGCAAGUCAGAUGUGAAAACUCAGGGCUCAACCCUGAGCCUGCAUUUGAAACUGUUUUUCUAGAGUUGGAGAGAAGUAUGCGGAAUUCGUGGUGUAGCGGUGAAAUGCAUAGAUAUCACGAAGAACUCCGAUUGCGAAGGCAGCAUACCGGCUCCAUACUGACGCUGAGGCACGAAAGCGUGGGGAUCGAACAGGAUUAGAUACCCCGGUAGUC
rnacentral:rRNA from 1 species